AUUGAACGCUGGCGGCAGGACUAACACAUACAAGUCGAGCGGAGCGGCGGACGGGUGAGUAAUGCCUAGGAAUCUGCCUGGUAGUGGGGGAUAACGUCCGGAAAUGGGAGCUAAUACCGCAUACUAGCAGAUGAGCCGAGGUCGGAUUAGCUAGGUGGGGGGGUAAAGGCCUACCCAGGCGACGAUCCGUAACUGGUCUGAGAGGAUGAUCAGUCUCACUGGAACUGAGACACUGUCCAGACUCCUACGGUAGACAGCAGUGGGGAAUAUUGGACAAUGGGCGAAAGCCUGAGUCAGCCAGGCCGCGGGUGUGAAGAAGGUCUUCGGAUUGUAAAGCACUUUAAGUUGGGAGGCGUUACCAACAGAAUAAGCACCGGCUAACUUCGUGCCAGCCGCGGCGGUAAUAC
rnacentral:rRNA from 1 species